AGGAUGAACGCUGGCGGUCUGCUUAACACAUGCAAGUCGAACGGAGUAGAAAUACUUAGUGGCGGACGGGUGAGUAACGCGUGAGAAUCUACCUUCAGGACGGAGACAACAGUUGGAAACGACUGCUAACCCCCGAUGUACUGAAAAGGCAAAUAUUUAUAGCCUGAAGAAGAGCUCGCGUCCGAUUAGCUAGUUGGAGAGGUAAAAGCUCACCAAGGCGACGAUCGGUAGCC
rnacentral:rRNA from 1 species